CGCUGGCGGCGUGCCUAAUACAUGCAAGUCGAACGCACUCUCGUUUAGAUUGAAGGAGCUUGCUCCUAAUCGAUAAACAUUUGAGUGAGUGGCGGACGGGUGAGUAACACGUGGGUAACCUGCCCUAAAGUGGGGAUAACAUUUGGAAACAGAUGCUAAUACCGCAUAAAACCUAACACCGCAUGGUGUAGGGUUGAAAGAUGGUUUCGGCUAUCACUUUAGGAUGGACCCGCGGUGCAUUAGUUAGUUGGUGAGGUAAAAGGCUCACCAAGACCGUGAUGCAUAGCCGACCUGAGAGGGUAAUCGGCCACACUGGGACUGAGACACGGCCCAGACUCCUACGGGAGGCAGCAGUAGGGAAUCUUCCACAAUGGACGAAAGUCUGAUGGAGCAACGCCGCGUGAGUGAAGAAGGUUUUCGGAUCGUAAAACUCUGUUGUUGGAGAAGAAUGUAUCUGAUAGUAACUGAUCAGGUAGUGACGGUAUCCAAUCAGAAAGCCACGGCUAACUACGUG
rnacentral:rRNA from 1 species